UUCAUCUUACCAAGUGGUGUAGUCCCUGGAGAAACUCAGGUGUAAAAGGUGCUAGGAAGCCCAGAAUUCUAGGUUGAGUUUAGGCAUCAGUAAGCCAGGUGUGACCAUGCUCAAAAUGAGGAAAUUUGUUAGCGGGGAAGAAGCUGGCAGGUGCUUUAUUUUGAUAGAGGUCACGUGCAGGUUUCUUUCCAAAACUCCUCCCUACCUAUUUUCUCAUUAGAAAUCAGCCAUACACAUGAAGGCCACAGCAAACCAGAGGAUCCCAUUGGGUAUCUAGUCCCUGCACCUGUUCUCCCAUCUCACUGGUCCUUCUUCCAGAGUGGCGUUGCAUGGAAAAUGGCAAGAAUCUGCAUUCAUUCUCUGACUCAGAAAGAGCCAUGGUGAACACACAGCGAGAAGGCAGCAGUCUAUGCGCCAGGAAGUGGCUUCUUACCAGGAACAGAAUCUGCCAACCCCUUGAUCUUGGACUUUCCAGCUCCCAGAACUAGGCUGGAGGAAGGAAGCCUGGCAUUCAAGGUAAAGGUUUUCCUUGGAAAAUUGUUUUGGAUACCCACCGGCAUAGGAAGAAUUAUUGAUGGAAGUCUCAAAUGUCUAGGUCUGAUCAUGUAGCUUAAAUACAUUAAAAAUGUAAAUGCGUUAAAGUUGGUGCUGUACCCAAAGAAUCAUAAUUUUGUUUAAUGGAACUUCUUAAUGAACCCUCCAAUUAACCAAAUUGUAUCCUAGAUAAUUGAAUACAUUGCUUGCUACAUAUAUUUAAACAUUGGUUAAAUUUAGAGGAAUGUUUACAACAUUAAUGAUCUGGAUGUAGAAAUCUCAAUCUACUCAGUCAAAGACUAAUUAGCCAGAGGGUAGGUUUUCUAUAAAGCCUUGACCUAGUUCAUGCCAGUAAGAUAAUUUUAUCAGCACAUAGAAUGUUUCUUUCCAAUGUAUGAGUAAGAAGAAACGGGAGGUGUUCAGUUCACCAAAAAUAAAUACCAAGUCGUUAAGGUGCAAGUUAAUGAGAAGUGGGGCAAAACACAUCCCUAUUUCACCCACUGGAAAGAUUCACCAAACAAUACUUGAUGGUCUUGAUGUUCACCGUAGUUUUGCAUACGUCUCAACAGAGAUGGACGUGUUGAGUUUACACAGGGUUACGAAGCCAAAAGGUAAGCCAAGGUCAAUAAUACUAACAAUCUUAAGCAAUUCCUGACACGCUUCUCCUGAAGGCAAUAAAGAGUGGACCAAAAUCAGUAGUGAAAUAACUAUACCAAAAAGUUCUGCUCUGCGUGGCAAUUUAUUCUGGGAAAUCCAUUCUUGAGUCAUCAAAAAAGAAAAUGGGAACAUAUUUCCAAUGGCAUGUCUGAUGACAAAUAGUUCCAAAAAUUUGGGGGAAUGGACGCUCUUUUAUUUUUCUUUAAAUAGGGGCUUUAUAUGUCUGAGCCUCCCCAGAUGGGAUAUUUUUAGCAAUCUUCUGUGCAUAAGAGUAGUUAAAGCCUCAGGAGUGGCUUUGCUAGACCUUAAGGAAGAUGAGAAGAGGGCUGAGGAAGGAACAUUGAGAAUCACCAACAUUUCAGCAUGAGAAGAGGAAGAGGUCCCACCCAGAGAGAGAAAAGGGAGAAUACAGAAAGGCAGAAAGAGACAUCACACCCCUACUUGCAGCCAGAAAAAUCGAGUGGGAGACUAGUGCAGAGGCCAUUGAACUUGGGAAGGAGCAACUUCUUUACAUUGUCAGGAGUUAAUUCAGCAGCAGUGGUUAUCUUAUUUGUUACUAAGGUGCCGCCACUGAGCAGGUGAUUUCUGUACAGCCCUCACCACAACCACCAGCCUUCAGAUGAGGAAAGUUAGGUUGCAAAGAACUUGAUGAAUCUGUCUAUGAUAAUAUUCAUUUAUUCAUUCAGUAAAAAGCAAAACAAAACCAUGAUGUGAUCUCUACUCUGAAGGAACUGACACUUCAAUUUUUCUGCUUUUGAAUGAAUAAGGAAAAGGGAAAGACGAGAAGACGAGGAAGAGGGGCAACCUGGGUGGCUCUGUUGGUUAAGCAUUCGACUCUUGAUCUCGGCGCAGGUCAUGAGCUCAUGGUUUGUGAGCUUGAGCCCCACAUGGGGCUCUGUGCUGACAGCCUGCUUGGGAUUCUCUCUCUCCCUUUCUCUCUCUGGGUGUUCUUCCCCUGUUCACGCUCUCAUUCUCUCUCUCUUUCUUUCUCUCAAAAUAAAUAAACUUAAAAAAAAAAAAGAGGAAGAGAGAGAGAGGGAAAGGGGGAAAAAUCGAAGUUUUGAUUUUUGUCUCGCAUAAUUUUGGCGUGAUGGCAGACAGAAUGAAAAUGGUCUCAGAAAAGAUAUGAAAGACAGGGAGAGGAGAUGGAGUGAUGUCCCAUAAAUGAAGUAAAAAGUAAUGGAUUUUGGGGCGCCUGGGUGGCUCAGUCGGUUAAGCAUCUGACUUCAGCUCAGGUCAUGAUCUCACGGUCUGUGAGUUCGAGCCCCGCGUUGGGCUCUGUGCUGGCAGCUCGGAGCCUGGAGCAUGCUUUGGAUUCUGUGUCUCCCUCUCCCUCUGCCCCUCCCCUGCUCACGCUCUGACUCUGUCUUUCAAUAAUAAAUAAAUGUUAAAAAAAAAAAAAGGAAUGGAUUUAUAAAGCACAGUGGACAUUUAAGCCCCAGGAAAAAAUGUAGGGAUGUCUUUUGGGGACAGUGGCAAGGAUGCAAGUUGCAAAUACAGAUAGAUUCUGAUUUUCAGGAGAAGGGUCAGAGUUUAUGUCUCUUGUUUGUCUGUCAGAUGGAAAGGCAGUGAGGGUUCUCAUUAUGUAAAGGGUCAAUGCCAACCAGUUUUCGGCAGGGCUGGUCAUAUAUAGAGAAUUGGAACCAGAAAUGAAGAUUUUAAAGACAGGAAUAAUUC